UACGUAGGUGGCGAGCGUUGUCCGGAUUUACUGGGCGUAAAGCGCGCGCAGGCGGUUCGUUAAGUCCGGUGUGAAAGCUCCCGGCUCAACUGGGAGAGGUCAUUGGAUACUGGCGGACUCGAGGGAUGCAGAGGAAGGUGGAAUUCCCGGUGUAGUGGUGAAAUGCGUAGAGAUCGGGAGGAACACCAGUGGCGAAGGCGGCCUUCUGGGCAUUUCCUGACGCUGAGGCUGCGAAAGCGUGGGGAGCGAACCGG
rnacentral:rRNA from 1 species